rnacentral:rRNA from 1 species
CCUACGGGUGGCAGCAGUGAGGAAUAUUGGUCAAUGGACGAGAGUCUGAACCAGCCAAGUAGCGUGAAGGAUGACUGCCCUAUGGGUUGUAAACUUCUUUUAUAUGGGAAUAAAACGUUCCACGUGUGGGAUUUUGUAUGUACCAUAUGAAUAAGGAUCGGCUAACUCCGUGCCAGCAGCCGCGGUAAUACGGAGGAUCCGAGCGUUAUCCGGAUUUAUUGGGUUUAAAGGGAGCGUAGGUGGAUGGUUAAGUCAGUUGUGAAAGUUUGCGGCUCAACCGUAAAAUUGCAGUUGAAACUGGCAGUCUUGAGUACAGUAGAGGUUGGCGGAAUUCGUGGUGUAGCGGUGAAAUGCUUAGAUAUCACGAAGAACUCCGAUUGCGAAGGCAGUUCACUGGACUGCAACUGACACUGAGGCUCGAAAGUGUGGGUAUCAAACAGGAUUAGAUACCCCUGUAGUC